GGAGGUUUUCAGGUGACACACCCCAGAAUGGGGCUCCCUACUCUCUGGUUCCAGGUGCAUCACCCAAGAACAGCC
rfam:Myotis lucifugus cont2.19958, whole genome shotgun sequence.